AGUGGGUAGAAUUUGUAUCCCCAUUUUAAUAAUGAGAAAAGUGAGGCUUAGAGAGGUACAGUAAUUUACCCAAGAUUGCACAGCUAAGAUCUGGUGGAGGCAUGCACACAGGGCCCUCUGACCAUGGGCUCUAAAUCACUGUACUAUGUUCCCUUCCAUAGGCCUCAAUCAGUCAUGUAAUAUUUGACCUGGUCGUUAUCUUAGGUAUUAUCUAGACCACAGAUUUUGGAUGCAGUUCUCUGGCUGAAGACCUCUGAGCUAGGAUAACCCCUUCUCUUUUGACAGACGAGUCAGAGAAUCAGAUCAGUGAUAGAAGUGGAGUGCCAAUCCUGAGUAUCACCUCUACUCAAGUGCUCAACAUAUCCCUAGAUCCUCAAUUCCCUGGCAAAAGUGAUUGGAUGGAACCACAGGCUUCCAAGAGGGGACAGUCAAGCAUUAAAUACGAGAAUGCACAUAUAACUCUUGGUGCAAUGUUUAGCACAUACUAAGCCUGCAAUACAUGCUAAUCCCUUUGAGCAAAUCCACAUGGCCAGUUUCUGUGCUCAGGGGUGAGAAUAGCUGGGCUGUGAUUGGGGCAGGGGGAGCACUAAGUGGGAGGGACUUCCUGUCUCAGGUCCCUGCCAUCUUGACUGACAUGCUGCAGCCCUUGCCAAAACCCAUGGGUCAGAAUGAAAGUAAAGUGCCGUUGAAAACCUUGCAAUCCACCUUUAAAACUGCCGGGUGUAGUAAAACAAUUGCUUGCCCCAAAUAAAUGACUUAUCAUUGCUGUUGGUUGUCUGCGUUUCUCUUUAAUUAUAGGCCCUCUUUGAACGCUCAAACACACAGGGCCUUUGUAAGCUUGAACUCCCUGUCUCACACACAGUCCUCCCAUACCCAUACACUCUCUUUCAUUUGCAGAGUAUAAACACCCAUCUCUCACUCAUUCACAUAAUGAAUUUCAGCUCCUUGUGUCCCAAUCAAGGAGAGGCCUCACUGGAAUUAUGGGCAUCUGAGCCAUCUUCAUGUUCCAAGGCCCCAGGGGGCGCUUCCAAGAGUGGAUCCUUUAUGGGGAGAAGAUAAUGGGCAAAAAGUGCUCUUCACUGAUGGACCAGUCCCAGCCUUUUCUCUCCUUGGACAAUAGAGUUCUUCCCUUGAACAGCCACUUCCCUAAAAAAAAUUCCAAAAUUCUCCCACAUCAUCCCCUUUAUGCUUAAAAUCAUCACACACUCCCUUCUUUGUCCUCCCCUCUUGCAAACUCAACUCAGAGCCCUUUGGCUCCAGAAAGAUUUUCUAGGUAUCAGGAGAGAGUAGCAAAGCCUCCCUCCUCUCCUUGCCUUUCUCCCUUGUCAGAGAAAGAAGUUGAUUCUGCGGAGAGGUAAGAAGGAUCUUGAGGUCUAGAGCCUGAAAAACUCCUUGGGCUGUUCUCCAAACUAGAUGGGAACAUAAGGUGCGAUUGCAUCUUCUCCAGCUGAUACUCACUCGGCCUCCUAUGCCAGUCCCCAGUCCAGGGUUUGGUCAAGGGUCAAAUGAGAUAAUUUCAUGGAGGAAGCCUGGCCCGAUUUUUCUACUGUUUGCUGGAAGACAGCCUCUUCCUCUUGUAACUGCAGCCCCAGAACCUGAUCUCCACAUCCCUGCCAGGCAGGUAGCUGUGUACAAGGGCUCAUCUUCCUGCCCCCAACCCCAGCUCUGAUUUGCUUAUUCAGGUGGUGUAAAUACUUCUACCAGGACCUAUUUCAAGCCAUUGUGAUGUCCCUGACUGGGGAGAUGCAGGGCAGCACACCAUUUAAUAUUUCCCUCACAUUUCCACCCCAUUCUGCACUCUUUUCUGGGAGUUGCUGUCUCAGAGGGUUGGCGGUUCUGGUGGCUCAAGACCAUAAGUAAUUAUCAAAUACUUAGGAAGCGACGGGUUUUGAGUAUUUAUUACCUUUUAAAAAUGUACUUUGUGGCUAGGCAUGGUGGCUCACGCCUGUAGUCCCCGCACCGGGAGGCCGAGGUGGGUGGAUUGCUUGAGCUCAGGAGUUCAAGACCAGCCUGGGCAACACGGCGAAACCCAGUCUCUACCAAAAAUACACACACACACACACACACACACACACACACACACACACACACACAAAUUGGCCUAGCGUGGUGUCGUGUGUCUGUGGUCGCAGUUACUCAGGAGACCAAGGUAGGAGGUAGGAAACCAAGGUAGGAGGAUCACCCGAGGUCGGUAGUUCGAGACCAGCCUGACCA
rnacentral:lncRNA from 1 species